GUCUCAGUAGCAUAGUGGUUAGUGCAUAGCCCCGGAUAGUUUGAGACGCAGGUUCAAAUCCCGCCUGAGAUG
rfam:Nippostrongylus brasiliensis genome assembly, scaffold: NBR_scaffold0001116